GAUGAACGCUGGCGGCGUGCCUAAUACAUGCAAGUCGAGCGAACGGACGAGAAGCUUGCUUCUCUGAUGUUAGCGGCGGACGGGUGAGUAACACGUGGAUAACCUACCUAUAAGACUGGGAUAACUUCGGGAAACCGGAGCUAAUACCGGAUAAUAUUUUGAACCGCAUGGUUCAAAAGUGAAAGACGGUCUUGCUGUCACUUAUAGAUGGAUCCGCGCUGCAUUAGCUAGUUGGUAAGGUAACGGCUUACCAAGGCAACGAUGCAUAGCCGACCUGAGAGGGGGAGAGCCCACACGGGAACGGAGACAGGGCCAAGACGACUGGGGGAGGCAGAAGAGGGAAAGUUUCGGAAAGGGGAGAAGGCAGGAGGAAGAAAGCCGGGGGGGGUGAGGAAGGUAUGGGGAUCGAAAAACUGUGUUAUAAGGGAAGAAGAGAUGGGAAAGAAACGGGGCAAAUGUGGAGGGAACAAAAUAAAAAAGCCACGGAAAAAUGGGUG
rnacentral:rRNA from 1 species